UACGAAGGGUGCAAACGUUGCUCGGAAUUAUUGGGCGUAAAGCGCACGUAGGCGGCUCAAAAAAGUCCCAUGUGAAAGCCCACGGCUUAACCCGUGGAAGUGCAUGGGAUACUGUUGAGCUUGAGUACUUAAGAGGAUCGCGGAAUUCCCGGUGUAGAGGUGAAAUUCGUAGAUAUCGGGGAGGAACACCAGUGGCGAAGGCGGCGAUCUGGGGAAGAUACUGACGCUGAGGUGCGAAAGCGUGGGGGAGCAAACAGGG
rnacentral:rRNA from 1 species